GACGAACGCUGGCGGCGUGCUUAACACAUGCAAGUCGAACGAAGAGCGAUGGAAGCUUGCUUCCAUCAAUCUUAGUGACGAACGGGUGAGUAACGCGUAAUCAACCUGCCCUUCAGAGGGGGACAACAGUUGGAAACGACUGCUAAUACCGCAUACGAUCUAACCUUGGCAUCGAGGAUGGAUGAAAGGUGGCCUCUAUUUAUAAGCUAUCAUUGAAGGAGGGGAUUGCGUCUGAUUAGCUAGUUGGAGGGGUAACGGCCCACCAAGGCGAUGAUCAGUAGCCGGUCUGAGAGGAUGAACGGCCACAUUGGGACUGAGACACGGCCCAGACUCCUACGGGAGGCAGCAGUGGGGAAUCUUCCGCAAUGGACGAAAGUCUGACGGAGCAACGCCGCGUGAGUGAUGACGGCCUUCGGGUUGUAAAGCUCUGUUAAUCGGGACGAAAGGCCUUCUUGCGAAUAGUUAGAAGGAUUGACGGUACCGGAAUAGAAAGCCACGGCUAACUACGUG
rnacentral:rRNA from 1 species